CCUACGGGAGGCUGCAGUGGGGAAUAUUGGGCAAUGGGCGCAAGCCUGACCCAGCAACUCCGCGUGAAGGAAGAAGGCUUUCGGGUUGUACACUUCUUUUAAGGGGGAAGAGCAGAAGACGGUACCCCUUGAAUAAGCCACGGCUAACUACGUGCCAGCAGCCGCGGUAAUACGUAGGUGGCAAGCGUUGUCCGGAUUUACUGGGUGUAAAGGGCGUGCAGCCGGAGAGACAAGUCAGAUGUGAAAUCCACGGGCUCAACCCGUGAAAUGCAUUUGAAACUGUUUCCCUUGAGUGUCGGAGAGGUAAUCGGAAUUCCUGGUGUAGCGGUGAAAUGCGUAGAUAUAAGGAAGAACACCAGUGGCGAAGGCGGAUUACUGGACGAUAACUGACGGUGAGGCGCGAAAGCGUGGGGAGCAAACAGGAUUAGAUACCCUUGUAGUC
rnacentral:rRNA from 1 species